UACAGAGGGGGCAAGCGUUGUUCGGAAUUACUGGGCGUAAAGGGCGCGUAGGUGGCCUUCUAAGUUGAACGUGAAAUCCCUGGGCUCAACCUGGGAACUGCGUCCGAUACUGGAUGGCUUGAAUCCGGGAGAGGGAUGCAGAAUUCCAGGUGUAGCGGUGAAAUGCGUAGAUAUCUGGAGGAAUACCGGUGGCGAAGGCGGCAUCCUGGACCGGCAUUGACGCUGAGGAGCGAAAGCCAGGGGAGCAAACAGG
rnacentral:rRNA from 1 species